UGUAGCUCAAUGGCAGAGCAGUUGCCUAGCAAGCAUGAGGCCUGGGUUCAAUCCCCAUCA
rnacentral:tRNA from 1 species